rnacentral:tRNA from 1 species
CGGGGUGUAGCGCAGCGGCUAGCGCGCUGGCUUCGGGUGCCAGAGGUCGAGGGUUCAAAUCCCUCCACCCCGACCA